GACAGCUGUGGAGACAGCCCGCGUUCCCGGCAUGCCCCGGGGCGGCGGGGUUGGCUCUAACGAAUUUGAAUGAGGAGCCUCAGCGCUUUCGGCGCCAUUUUCGAGUGCUGCCUGAUCUCAUCAAUCUAGCGGGACGGAAGGGAUAACCUGUCCGAGCGUAGCGCGACGCUGGGAUCGCGCCGAAAAAUGCCCCAAAAAUCAUCAGAAAAAAAAAAAAAACAAAACGUAACGGAAUCCAAAGGGCCGUCGGCGGAGCUCCGCCAGAUCUGGCGCGGACGAUUUUAACCUUUAGAAGAGAACUAAUUCUGGAAAACAGCCUAAGUUUCUUUAACUGAAUACCGACAUCAUGGAACGUGAUAGAGGAUUAAGGUUUAACAAUGAUAAAUGAAGAUAUUACUAAAACAGCCUGCUUAGUAGCCCAACAAUUAUUUUAUGGAACCCGGGGCCUUCCAGGAACCAAG